rnacentral:rRNA from 1 species
UACAGAGGGCUCAAGCGUUGUUCGGAUUCAUUGGGCGUAAAGGGCGCGUAGGCGGCGCGGUAAGUCGGGUGUGAAAUUUCGGAGCUUAACUCCGAAACUGCAUUCGAUACUGCCGUGCUCGAGGACUGGAGAGGAGAGUGGAAUUUACGGUGUAGCGGUGAAAUGCGUAGAGAUCGUAAGGAAGACCAGUGGCGAAGGCGGGUCUCUGGACAGUUACUGACGCUGAGGCACGAAGGCCAGGGGAGCGAACGGG